AUUGAACGCUGGCGGCAUGCCUUACACAUGCAAGUCGAGCGGCAGCGCGGGGGCAACCCUGGCGGCGAGCGGCGAACGGGUGAGUAAUACAUCGGAACGUGUCCAGUAGUGGGGGAUAACCUGUCGAAAGAUAGGCUGAUACCGCAUACGAUCUACGGAUGAAAGCGGGGGACCGCAAGGCCUCGCGCUAUUGGAGCGGCCGAUGUCGGAUUAGCUAGUUGGCGGGGUAAAAGCCCACCAAGGCGACGAUCCGUAGCUGGUCUGAGAGGACGACCAGCCACACUGGAACUGAGACACGGUCCAGACUCCUACGGGAGGCAGCAGUGGGGAAUUCUGGACAAUGGGGGCAACCCUGAUCCAGCCAUGCCGCGUGAGUGAAGAAGGCCUUCGGGUUGUAAAGCUCUUUCGGCGGGGACGAAACGGUUCGUGCCAACACCACGGACUAAUGACGGUACUCGCAGAAGAAGCACCGGCUAACUACGUGCCAGCAGCCGCAGUAA
rnacentral:rRNA from 1 species